rnacentral:rRNA from 1 species
UGCAGUCGAACGGUAGCACAGAGGAGCUUGCUCCUUGGGUGACGAGUGGCGGACGGGUGAGUAAUGUCUGGGAAACUGCCCGAUGGAGGGGGAUAACUACUGGAAACGGUAGCUAAUACCGCAUAACGUCGCAAGACCAAAGAGGGGGACCUUCGGGCCUCUUGCCAUCGGAUGUGCCCAGAUGGGAUUAGCUAGUAGGUGGGGUAACGGCUCACCUAGGCGACGAUCCCUAGCUGGUCUGAGAGGAUGACCAGCCACACUGGAACUGAGACACGGUCCAGACUCCUACGGGAGGCAGCAGUGGGGAAUAUUGCACAAUGGGCGCAAGCCUGAUGCAGCCAUGCCGCGUGUAUGAAGAAGGCCUUCGGGUUGUAAAGUACUUUCAGCGAGGAGGAAGGCGUUGUGGUUAAUAACCGUAACGAUUGACGUUACUCGCAGAAGAAGCACCGGCUAACUCCGUGCCAGCAGCCGCGGUAAUACGGAGGGUGCAAGCGUUAAUCGGAAUUACUGGG